GUGAGUAACACGUGGGAAACCUGCCCAGAAGCGGGGGAUAACACGUGGAAACAGAUGCUAAUACCGCAUAACAACUUGGACCGCAUGGUCCGAGUUUGAAAGAUGGCUUCGGCUAUCACUUUUGGAUGGUCCCGCGGCGUAUUAGCUAGAUGGUGGGGUAACGGCUCACCAUGGCAAUGAUACGUAGCCGACCUGAGAGGGUAAUCGGCCACAUUGGGACUGAGACACGGCCCAAACUCCUACGGGAGGCAGCAGUAGGGAAUCUUCCACAAUGGACGAAAGUCUGAUGGAGCAACGCCGCGUGAGUGAAGAAGGGUUUCGGCUCGUAAAACUCUGUUGUUAAAGAAGAACAUAUCUGAGAGUAACUGUUCAGGUAUUGACGGUAUUUAACCAGAAAGCCACGGCUAACUACGUGCCAGCAGCCGCGGUAAUACGUAGGUGGCAAGCGUUGUCCGGAUUUAUUGGGCGUAAAGCGAGCGCAGGCGGUUUUUUAAGUCUGAUGUGAAAGCCUUCGGCUCAACCGAAGAAGUGCAUCGGAAACUGGGAAACUUGAGUGCAGAAGAGGACAGUGGAACUCCAUGUGUAGCGGUGAAAUGCGUAGAUAUAUGGAAGAACACCAGUGGCGAAGGCGGCUGUCUGGUCUGUAACUGACGCUGAGGCUCGAAAGUAUGGGUAGCAAACAGGAUUAGAUACCCUGGUAGUCCAUACCGUAAACGAUGAAUGCUAAGUGUUGGAGGGUUUCCGCCCUUCAGUGCUGCAGCUAACGCAUUAAGCAUUCCGCCUGGGGAGUACGGCCGCAAGGCUGAAACUCAAAGGAAUUGACGGGGGCCCGCACAAGCGGUGGAGCAUGUGGUUUAAUUCGAAGCUACGCGAAGAACCUUACCAGGUCUUGACAUACUAUGCAAAUCUAAGAGAUUAGACGUUCCCUUCGGGGACAUGGAUACAGGUGGUGCAUGGUUGUCGUCAGCUCGUGUCGUGAGAUGUUGGGUUAAGUCCCGCAACGAGCGCAACCCUUAUUAUCAGUUGCCAGCAUUAAGUUGGGCACUCUGGUGAGACUGCCGGUGACAAACCGGAGGAAGGUGGGGAUGACGUCAAAUCAUCAUGCCCC
rnacentral:rRNA from 2 species